GCGCAACUGCUUCUGCGGUUUGGUUCAAGCGUGUACGUCUGCAGACUGCAAGACGGGGGCGUAACUUGAAGUGGGCGUAACUUGAAGUAGGAGGCGUAACUUGAAGUUGUCCAAAUCACACAGAACCACGCGAGACUUCAAAACGAUAAGUUAUUGCCAAUAUGGCGGCACAGAGUAGAAUAUUGAUUACGUUUUAAGGGAGGCAGGGGUUUUAGGCAGGAUUUGAUUCAUGAUGUGUGUGUAGAUAUUAAUGUUAGGGGACAAUGUGAGAGUGUACGUUUUAGUAGGAAAACGUAUUAUCUGACCCACACUCCGGAACAGAAGAAGGCGGUAAUGCACCCAUAAGCUGGAUGCCAACCCCCGUUAAACUGGAAGAAGACGAAUAUGACAGCUUGCUGUGAGAGACAACGGGACAGACGAGACACAUGUGUGUUUAUCUGCUGUAGAGUAACUAAUGAAGGAAUGCUACCAUCUAAGGAUUUGUAUCUUUUGUGGUGGAGCAGGACCUGCAAGGAAAGGUGAAAAAGAGGGAAAACCUGAAACAAAAGAAUAAUGGGCCUACAAUCCCCUGAUCAACCUGGAGAAGAGAGCCUUGCUCAAGGACACACUGGUGUUCCUGUGGCUCAAGGGGUAGAGCAUUGCGUUAGCAGUGCAAGGUUGUGGGUUCGAAUACCAGGGAACACAUGUUAGGUAAAAACUUUUAGUCUGAAUGCA
rnacentral:lncRNA from 1 species